GUUCGAUAGUUCUUUUUCUGAUAAAAAAAUGUAUGUAUUUUGUUCAAGAAUUCACUAUUGUAGGGAAAUGUUCCCUUUAGUUUUUCAUAAUUGUUCUUUGCUUCUGACUCCCUUCUUAUGAUAAGAAGGCGGCUUUUCCAUAAUAUCCUUCCUGCAUAAAACACGUAAUGUAUGCUUGUAUAUUUUCCUCGAUAAGGAUUGUUUUCCAUCACAUUUCUUUAGCGUCUCUUAUAUCGUUUUGUUCACACGAUAGCUGCUAGACGUUUACACACUGAUUGUUAAACUUUGAAAUGUCUACCCAUUUAACAGCAUUCUCGUCUUUUUUUCUUUUUUCACUUGAAGUAUUAUUACAUAUUGCCUUCCUUCUUCUGAUAUUUCUGUCCUUUCCCUUGCAGCUGACAGUUUUUUUUUUUCUAAUAGGCAUGUAAUCAGUAGUCUAUAGCAGUCACAGCUAUGGUGUUCCAAAAGUAAAAAAACAACAUUACUGCACUCCGAGGAAAGUCCCUAAUCAAAUUGCAAAAUCAAAAGCACAAAAACAUCAAACUCGUUGAAUUCGUACUCUCAUUUUAUAAGCUUAGGUUAUUUAUAGGCAAUGACAGAAAGCAUAUGCCAGGAGUAUUCAACGGGGAAAAAUCAGUUGGUCAGAGAUAUAUUUAACCAAAUCAGUACAUAACAUACUGCCUGGGAGUGUAUGAAAAAAAUUAAAAUCGACAAUUUUGUGUGAAUUUUUCAUUUUUGUUUUUGAAAUUCAAUAUUCGAGAUCAAACUUCAAAAUUUCAAUGAAA
rnacentral:lncRNA from 1 species